UAAUACAGAGGGUGCACACGUUGUUCGGAAUUACUGGGCGUAAAGCGCGUGCAGGCGGCCUUGCAAGUCGGACGUGAAAUCCCACGGCUCAACCGUGGAAGUGCAUUCGAAACUGCGAGGCUGGAGUCCUGGAGAGGAAAGUGGAAUACUCGGUGUAGAGGUGAAAUUCGUAGAUAUCGAGUGGAACACCGGUGGCGAAGGCGGCUUUCUGGACAGGUACUGACGCUGAGAC
rnacentral:rRNA from 1 species